rnacentral:misc_RNA from 1 species
UGCUUUUAUUUGGAUUAAACUCUUGACCCGAACAGGAUUUUAACAAAAUUUAAAUUCUAGUAAUCAUGACAACCAAUGAGAGACUCCCUGAGGUUGGGCAAGAGGAAUUGUACAAUUUACUAAAAACAACUAAAAUACAAUUGUUUGAUGUCCGAACACCUGAAGAAAUAACUGAACAGGGCAAGAUUGCAGAGGCUGUUACUCUGCCAUUGUUACAAGUGAAAGGAGCAUUUGAGGGAACGGAGGAAAAGUUCAAAGAGACAUAUGGCGUAGACCGGCCUAAUCCCGAAGAUAAAAACUUCAUUUUCACAUGCAGGAGCGGAAGGAGAAGCUUCUAUGCUAUGGCAGUUGUACAUGAGCUAGGGUGGAAAUGGGCAAAGAACCAUGAGGGAGGGUGGCUAGUGUGGCCUUACAAGGAAGAGACAUCACAGAAAAUGUGAAAUGCUACCACAAACAUUCAAUAACUGUUGGAGCCCAAGAAUAAGCCAAGAACUUUGUUCACUCGAGAGAGGUGUUUACUAAGACAAGUUUUACUGCAUUCAGUUAUUUGUGCAUAUACUAUAAAGUUGUGUUCCUUGAUGUCGGAAUCAGUGUCAUUUUGACUAUAUGAUAAAGUUUAAUCCUGGAUAACUAAACAUGUGUAACCUCCCCCCCACGACAUUGACAACCACUUAGCUGAGAAGAUACAAAGUGGGGAAGCUGAAAGACUUUAUUAACAAACAUUUGUAAAAAAGUAUAAAAAUAGAAAUAUACAAUAAAUAAAAUAUUUUGACCAAGUGUUUCUUUGUGCAAGUAAACAAUCUAGGAUUUUCAAUGUUACUUUUGAUUUUAGUUGGAUCUACUUGGAGUCUCUAAAUUACUUCUAAUGGACACACAUAUCAACGAAUCAAGAUUACAAUGCCUGAAAGGGAAUUAAUAGAAAAUACUCGACGAUUUUUUUAGAAGAUAUUCUAAAAAUUGUAAUGAGAAUAUUCCAUCAAAUA